rnacentral:rRNA from 1 species
GAUGAACGCUGGCGGCGUGCCUAAUACAUGCAAGUCGAGCGAACAGACGAGGAGCUUGCUCCUCUGACGUUAGCGGCGGACGGGUGAGUAACACGUGGAUAACCUACCUAUAAGACUGGGAUAACUUCGGGAAACCGGAGCUAAUACCGGAUAAUAUAUUGAACCGCAUGGGUCAAUAGUGAAAGACGGUUUUGCUGUCACUUAUAGAUGGAUCCGCGCCGCAUUAGCUAGUUGGUAAGGUAACGGCUUACCAAGGCAACGAAGCGUAGCCGACCUGAGAGGGUGAUCGGCCACACUGGAACGGAGACACGGUCCAGACUCCUACGGGAGGCAGCAGUAGGGAAUCUUCCGCAAUGGGCGAAAGCUUGACGGAGCAACGCCGCGUGAGUGAUGAAGGUCUUCGGAUCGUAAAACUCUGUUAUUAGGGAAGAACAAAUGUGUAAGUAACUAUGCACGUCUUGACGGUACCUAAUCAGAAAGCCACGGCUAACUACGUG